UGCGNNUGGGCGAAGCCUGACGCAGCGACGCCGCGUGGGGGAUGAAGCUUCUCGGAGUGUAAACCCCUUUCGACUGGGACGAAUGCCCGCAAGGGAGUGACGGUACCAGUAGAAGAAGCCCCGGCUAACUACGUGCCAGCAGCCGCGGUAAGACGUAGGGGGCCAGCGUUGUUCGGAAUUACUGGGUGUAAAGGGUUCGUAGGCGGUGUGGCAAGUCGGGAGUGAAAUCUCUGGGCUCAACUCAGAGGCUGCUUCCGAAACUGCUGUGCUUGAGUGUGGGAGAGGCGCGUGGAAUUGCAGGUGUAGCGGUGAAAUGCGUAGAUAUCUGCAGGAACACCCGUGGCGAAAGCGGCGCGCUGGACCACAACUGACGCUGAGGAACGAAAGCUAGGGGAGCAAACAGGAUUAGAUACCCUGGUAGUCCUAGCCCUAAACGAUCAGGACUUGGGGUGCCGCCCGUUCGGGCGUCGUCCCGGAGCUAACGCGUUAAGUCCUGCACCUGGGGAGUACGGUCGCAAGACUGAAACUCAAAGGAAUUGACGGA
rnacentral:rRNA from 1 species